rnacentral:rRNA from 1 species
CACCCUGGGACUGAGACCCGGCCCAGACUCCUACGGGAGGCAGCAGUAGGAAUCUUCCGCAAUGGACGAAAGUCUGACGGAGCAACGCCGCGUGAGUGAUGAAGGUUUUCGGAUCGUAAAGCUCUGUUGUUAGGGAAGAACAAGUGCCGUUCAAAUAGGGCGGCACCUUGACGGUACCUAACCAGAAAGCCACGGCUAACUACGUGCCAGCAGCCGCGGUAAUACGUAGGUGGCAAGCGUUGUCCGGAAUUAUUGGGCGUAAAGGGCUCGCAGGCGGUUUCUUAAGUCUGAUGUGAAAGCCCCCGGCUCAACCGGGGAGGGUCAUUGGAAACUGGGGAACUUGAGUGCAGAAGAGGAGAGUGGAAUUCCACGUGUAGCGGUGAAAUGCGUAGAGAUGUGGAGGAACACCAGUGGCGAAGGCGACUCUCUGGUCUGUAACUGACGCUGAGGAGCGAAAGCGUGGGGAGCGAACAGGAUUAGAUACCCUGGUAGUCCACGCCGUAAACGAUGAGUGCUAAGUGUUAGGGGGUUUCCGCCCCUUAGUGCUGCAGCUAACGCAUUAAGCACUCCGCCUGGGGAGUACGGUCGCAAGACUGAAACUCAAAGGAAUUGACGGGGGCCCGCACAAGCGGUGGAGCAUGUGGUUUAAUUCGAAGCAACGCGAAGAACCUUACCAGGUCUUGACAUCCUCUGACAAUCCUAGAGAUAGGACGUCCCCUUCGGGGGCAGAGUGACAGGUGGUGCAUGGUUGUCGUCAGCUCGUGUCGUGAGAUGUUGGGUUAAGUCCCGCAACGAGCGCAACCCUUGAUCUUAGUUGCCAGCAUUCAGUUGGGCACUCUAAGGUGACUGCCGGUGACAAACCGGAGGAAGGUGGGGAUGACGUCAAAUCAUCAUGCCCCUUAUGACCUGGGCUACACACGUGCUACAAUGGACAGAACAAAGGGCAGCGAAACCGCGAGGUUAAGCCAAUCCCACAAAUCUGUUCUCAGUUCGGAUCGCAGUCUGCAACUCGACUGCGUGAAGCUGGAAUCGCUAGUAAUCGCGGAUCAGCAUGCCGCGGUGAAUACGUUCCCGGGCCUUGUACACACCGCCCGUCACACCACGAGAGUUUGUAACACCCGAAGUCGGUGAGGUAACCUUUAGGAGC